ACUUGGACAAGGGAUGAAAACUAAACGAAGCACUACGAUAGGUAUAGCUAUCAUGAAUUAACUAAAGCGAACACGGCCACGGGCAAAUAUCUUCGUAUUGACAUGUUUUACUUUGUUGUAAUAUACUUAAUUACAGAAGAGACCCAGUUGCCUAAAUAGCAAGCUGGGAAUACUUAAUAAAGUAAAGAAAAUUAGAGAAAUGAAGAAGGCAAGACAUCAAAAGGGAUAAGCUGAAUAAUCCAAGCAGAAAGCUGGGAUAAUACACAAGACUGGCCAUGAGGGAAGGGAAUGUUUACAAGACCACAAAAGGUUACCAAAGCUGGGAGCAAGUUGCCAUCAUAAAUUAUGGUAUGCAAUAAAAAAAAAUGGUUUGGGUGUCAACACCUGCUGGCUCAAGACUGUGUCCUUGGACACCAUUUCCUUUAGGCUGUAUGAAAAGUUCAAGCAGGCAUAUCAGUCAUCUGGUAUGGGCAUCACUCCAUGAAGUGGAUUCUGUGACUGGAGUUUUGCACCUAUAGGUAAAUGGGAUCGUUGAUGUUUCGGAAGCCUUCCAGUUAGAAUGAAAUUAGAUCAAGUGCUGGGUUUUGUGUGACCAGUGUUUAAGAGUAAUUUUAGUGUUCUGUAGUAGAAUGUGGUAAGUGAACUUAUCUCUUACAGUGUUGGUGUUGUACUUAAGAGGAUUAAUUAAUGCACUGGAGAGUUGCCUUGUGAAAUAUAGUAGAAUUUACAAUGCUCAAUAAGAGUAUAGUACUAAUUUUUCACAGUAUGGUGGCUAUUGUAGUUAUUUAUUACUCUCCUGGUAUUGCAUUAUGAAAGCACUUAUCUAUUUGAUAUGUUACUGGUGACCAGAAUAUAUCGGGCUUUAUUGUAUUUAUUUUAUAGAACUCUAAAAUCACAAUGUUCAAGUGUACAUAUUGUAACAAAGCAUACACUGCCAAAAGUUCCCUGAAUGUACAUAUGUUAUCUCAUUCAGGCAAAAAACUUUAUGCAUGUAUGUUUUGUGACAAACGUUUCAGUCGCAAAAACUAUUUACCAAUCCACAUGAGAGUACAUACUGGAGAAAGGCCUUACAAAUGUACUGUGUGUGGUAAAACAUUCAGGCAAAAUGCAAACCUUAGAAAACAUGAAAAGUUACAUUUACCAGGCCCAUUUAGUAUCCAUAUUGGAGAAUGGCCUUACAAAUGUUCUUUGUGUCAGAAAACAUUCAGAAACUUGGGAAGCUUAACCAGGCAUAAUAAAUUACAUGAUGAAAUAAAGUGUUUAAGUUGCAGCAUCUGUAGUAAACAGUUUUCUGAGAAAAGCCUGUUUGAAAACCAUUUUCAACAACAUUCUUGCAGUAAAAGUAAAGGUUAUAGUCAAAUUGGUAAUGGAACUACUCGAGAAAAGAUUCAUUCUGGUCAUCAACAGUAUCACUGUGCAAAUUGUGAAAAAAGUUUUAGUCAGAAGCAGGACUUUGAAAAGCACUGUAGGACACAUUUAGCAGUUCCAGCUUAUAAUUGCCAGUUGUGCAAUAAAGGGUUUACAAGACUAAAGAGUCUGCAUAAACAUGCCCAGAAGAUUCACAGCAAUCAAAUAUCUUUUGGAUGUGGAUUUUGUCAUAGAAACUUCACUGAUACUGGUACUUUUACAAACCAUAUGAAAUACUAUUUUGUUCAUGGUUAUUGUGAAGAUGAUCAUAUUAAAGUUAAUUCUGAUAAUGGUAAGACACAGGACAUUGAACAAGUUAUGUUUCCAAAAGCGAAUAUAUUUAGAGUUGAGGAUGAUCUUAUCGUAAUUGUUAUCAGUGAAAAUGAUGUAAAUGAAGGCGAGAUGUGUCAUGCGUUGAAGCAUGUGAAAAGUAAAUUUGGACUUUUAACUGCAAAAAAGAUUUCAUCAAAUGAAAAAAGUUGUAUUAGUGAUAAUGAAGUCUCUGGACUGUUGACUGAAAAGCAGUUACAUAUUAUUAGCAAUAUUCCAAACCUUAAAGGGAAAAUUUCAGGACCAUUUUGCAAAAAAACUUGGAAAACAUUUAAUAAAUUACCUAAUGCAAAUGGAAAGCAUAAGUUUGGAUGUGAUGUUUGUGAUGCCAAGUUAACUAAAAAGAAAAAUAGAAAAAGGAAAAGGAAGUAUUGUAAAUUGUGUGGAAAGUUUUUUUUAAGCACAAAAAGAUUUGAAAUGCAUAUGAAAUAUCAUGUACACUAUAAACAACUUAGGAAUAGCAGUAGAAAAAAUAAUUAUAUCGAUGGUAAAUUCCAUGAUAACCACAGGUCACUUUGCCUGAACCUUAAUGAAGCUUGUACAAAAAAGAAAUCAGAAAACCACUGCAGUGAGUGUUUGGAUAAUCAUCAGUAUGUGUGCAAAUUUUGUGAAACCAAACAUUCUGUAGGAAAUUUCAGUACUCACGGUUGCCAACAAGGAGAGAAGGAAGAUCAUAAGUGUAAUGUUUGCCAUGAAUUAUUUGUGACUAAAUCAGAUUUACUCAUGCAUGUGAUGAAGCUUCACAAGCAAGAAUACCCUUACACUUGUCAUAUUUGCUGUAAAUCAUUGCCAACAGAAGACAGCUUCAUAAAUCAUUCAAACUUGCACAUGAAAGGGGAACUUCAUACUUGUUCUAAUUGUGGUAAAAAUUUAAAAGAAGUGCAUGGUGUAAAUGAACAGCUGAAUAUUCAUGUUACUCCGCAGUCAUUUCAGUGCGGCGAUUGUCAUAUGAAGCUUAGAGAUGUGAAAUAUGAUAAGUGCCAUCUUGAAUUUCAUGAAAUGCAAACUGAAGGAUUUUUACAAAUUAGAAAAAGUCCAAAAAGUUCAUCUCACAAAGUGUUCUCUGAAAGUAGUAAUGAUCACGAUCAUUUUACUAUAAUUUUAGAAAGUGAUGAGCAAGAUUCAUCAAACUCCCCAAAGGAGUUAAAUGGUUUUGGUGAGAGUAGUAAAAGCUCAUCAACAUUAACCAAUAGUAUAAUAAAUAACAAACUAGAUGAUUUUUUACCUUCAAUAGUGCAUUGUGUUGAAAUAGAGGUUACAGAACUGGUGUCAUGAGGUGCUAAUCACUGUGUAUCCUAUUCUAACAAACACAUGGAAUUCAGAAUUGUGAUGCUAUAUAGUAUAUAGGUUUUAUAUAGUCAUACAAAUUACAAAGCCAUUUACUUUUAUUUAAGGCUUAAUAUCUGGUUCUGGCAGACAGUUCACAUUCUGGUCUUAGUUAUUUUGAUUAUCAGGAUGGCCUCCCUUGUCUCACACUAAAGCUCUUACUUCCUAGUUCAUUUGUUCAUUUUCACCCAAAGCUGAUACAUUAAUUGAAUGAGGCUGUCUUUAUUCUUUUCUUGUACCUACUUGGCUACAAGGAUGGUGUUGGAAAUAAUCCAGGUCGUAGAGACCUGUAUGCGAAUCAAGUUGCUUGUUCAUAAUAGUAUGUACCUACUUCUUGACAGUCUCUAAUCAGAUGAAACUGAAGUCUUUGAAAACAGUUUCUUGUUCCUUUGAAUUGCCCUUUACUAAUCCUCUCAGAUUUGUACAUUGUCAAUAAAGUCUGUCUGUAAUCAUUUUGUACGCUGCUAACUUCGAAACAUACUGUAGCAGGCAUAAAUCAAACAGCAAUAAAAUAAUUUCAGUUCAGUAUAAUUGUUGGGAUACUACAGUUUCAAAAUAGUAAAUCUAGAUGCAAUUUCCAUAAUGGUUAAAUGAAAAUUUAAGUAUUUCCAUAAUCUUUGCAAAGCCACUGUAUCUCUUUUUGUUUUAUAAAUGAACAAGAUCCUGACUUUUUCAACAUCCCUAUCUGCUAACUGCAAAGAUUUCUUUGAUGUUCCAAGCAAAUUAGUUGCAGUAAUGAUAGCAUACAAGAUCUGCAUCCUUAAAUAUCAUAAUACAGUUCUUGUAGUUGAAAGUUGAGGUUGAUUGACCGAAGAUAUUGAAGUUAGAUUUUAUGUAAAAUAAAAGUAUAAGGUAAAACAAUUAUAUGGGUUUUCAUAAUUUUUUGACAAUUAUUUUACUAGAAAUCAAGGAAUCAAGAAAAUAUGAGAGGAGAUGGGGAAAAGAAUGGCAAAGGAAUACUACAGUAUUUGUCACCUAAAUAUAAUGAUGGUGUGGAGACAUGAGCAAAAGAAUAUUUUAGGUACAAAUAUAGGAACACCUUAUUGUAAAAGAUUUUUCAUCAUAUCUUCAUAAUUUUAGUUUAAAGAAAAAAUACUGCAUUCCAAGUACUACAUGUAUGUGUAAUUCAUGACUCUCCAAGACAUUUAUUAAUUGUGGAAAUUCUAUUGUUUCUGAUAAAUAUUAAAAACUAGUGAUAAUGAGUAGGAAAAUAGGUCUUCAUGAUUUCCAAGCUCUUUAAUUGUUUUUAUCUUGCAAUUCAACAUUUGGUAUGCAUGCCCAGACCAGACUUAAGGCCUUGUUAAAAGUAAUUGGUUUGUAUCCUUGGAACAAAAAUGUUCAUAUUUUUAUUUAUUGUACUGUAUACUGUACGCCCAUGUUUAGAGUUCAUUGGGCAUUUUGGAAUUUACCAAUUUACCAAAAAUUUUUUACUCUUUCUAACUUAGGAGUUGAUAGUUAUUUAUAUUAAAAAAGGUCAGUAAAUUUUAUUUGGUGGAUACAUUUAAAAGGAAAUUUGAAUUAUUAAGUGUGGUAUCUACCAGAAAUUAUAGAACCAGUAAUUUACUUUAAAGAAUUUUGUGGAAAACAGUAUGGUGUAAGGAACCUGCUUGUCAGGGACUGUAUAUGUUGGCAUAUUACACAAUUCUUAAUGCCAGUUUUAUUUACUAAUUAUGCUAUCUGUGAUUUAGGGAAAGCCUUUACAGUUCACAGAGUUAUAAUAAGUUUUGUUCAUGAAACUUACCUGUCAGAUAUAUAUAUAACUUGAUUAUAUAUAUCUGCCAGGUAAGUUUGAACAAACUUUAUUGUAUCAUAACAAUAUCAUUUUGUUAGUUGAGUACCUAAUUGACCAUUCUUGGUAGAAACAUGAAAAAAAUAUGAAAAAGUGAUGAAAUUCUGAGAAACCCUGUUUUUGUAUGGCAUUCACUUAUACUGUAUGUAUACAGUCUUUCAUUAAAAUUUGUCUUAGUUUCAUA